rnacentral:rRNA from 1 species
GCGGUGAGCAUGUGGUUUAAUCGAAGCAACGCGAAGAACCUUACCAGGUCUUGACAUCCCGAUGCUAUUCUAGAGAUAGAAAGUUACUUCGGUACAUCGGUGACAGGUGGUGCAUGGUUGUCGUCAGCUCGUGUCGUGAGAUGUUGGGUUAAGUCCCGCAACGAGCGCAACCCCUAUUGUUAGUUGCCAUCAUCCAGCUGGGCACUCUAGCGAGACUGCCGGUAAUAAACCGGAGGAAGGUGGGGAUGACGUCAAAUCAUCAUGCCCCUUAUGACCUGGGCUACACACGUACUACAAUGGUUGGUACAACGAGUUGCGAGUCGGUGACGGCGAGCUAAUCUCUUAAAGCCAAUCUCAGUUCGGAUUGUAGGCUGCAACUCGCCUACAUGAAGUCGGAAUCGCUAGUAAUCGCGGAUCAGCACGCCGCGGUGAAUACGUUCCCGGGCCUU